rnacentral:rRNA from 1 species
GACGAACGCUGGCGGCGUGCUUAACACAUGCAAGUCGAACGGAAAGGCCCUGCUUUUGUGGGGUUCUCGAUUGGCGAACGGGUGAGUAACACGUGAGUAACCUGCCCUUGACUUUGGGAUAACUUCAGGAAACUGGGGCUAAUACCGGAUAGGAGCUCCUGCUGCAUGGUGGGGGUUGGAAAGUUUCGGCGGUUGGGGAUGGAUUCGCGGCUUAUCAGCUUGUUUGUGAAGUAGUGACUUACCAAGGCUUUGACGGGUAGCCGGCCUGAGAGGGUGACCGGGGUCAUUGCGACUGAGGUACGGACCAGAAUGGUACGGGACGCAGUAGUGGAGAACCUGACACAGCGAGGGGAAGUGUGAUGUAGAAGUCUCGCGAGCGGGAUGACGGGCUACGGGUGAUGAACAGCUGUGGAAUGAGACGUGGACUGAGUGACGGUAAUGGGUCAAGAAGCAACGGCUAACUACGUG